rnacentral:rRNA from 1 species
GUUAGAACGCUCGUAGUCGGAUUUCGGGGCGGGCCGACCGGUCUGCCGAUGGGUACGCACUGGUCGGCGCGUCCUUCCUUCCGGAGACCGUGCCUACUCUUAACUGAGCGGGGGCGGGAGACGGAACGUUUACUUUGAAAAAAUCAGAGUGUUUCAAGCAGGCAGCUCGCUCUUGCAUGGAUUAGCAUGGGAUAAUGAAAUAGGACUUUGGUGCUAUUUUGUUGGUUUCGAACACCGAAGUAAUGAUGAGAAGGGACAGUCAGGGGCACUCGUAUUCCGCCGAGAGAGGUGAAAUUCUCAGACCAGCGGAAGACGAACCACUGCGAAAGCAUUUGCCAGGGAUGUUUUCACUGAUCAAGAACGAAAGUUAGGGGAUCGAAGACGAUCAGAUACCGUCGUAGUCUUAACCAUAAACCAUGCCGACUAGGGAUUGGAGGAUGUUCACUGAUUGACUCCUUCAGCACCUUACGGGAAACUAAAGUCUUUGGGUUCCGGGGGGAGUAUGGUCGCAAGGCUGAAACUUAAAGGAAUUGACGGAAGGGCACCACCAGGUGUGGAGCCUGCGGCUUAAUUUGACUCAACACGGGGAAACUUACCAGGUCCAGACAUUGUGAGGAUUGACAGAUUGAGAGCUCUUUCUUGAUUCGAUGGGUGGUGGUGCAUGGCCGUUCUUAGUUGGUGGAGUGAUUUGUCUGGUUAAUUCCGUUAA